UCUCGACUAGUAUAUCGGUUUAGUACACGCGCCUGUCAUUGAAUUUCGUAAUUUGGACCGCGCGAAAGCUGGGUUCGACUCCCAGGUCGAGAG